AGCCUAUUUUUAAUACUUCCAUUUGUCAGAAAUGACAGAGGAGUCAAAACUUCAAAUUAGUAAAAUAAGGUAAAAACGUGUAUGAAAUUUCAGUGGUGUCUAGUAGUUGCAUUGUGCAGUUAAUCAAAAACUAUCCUGACAGCUUUUUCAUACUAAGUUAACAGGAAGUAUAAUUAUUUGUUUAUAUUUGGAAGUUCUAAGAAUUCUGUGUACAUAUUUCAUUUGACUGUAUCACAAAAGAAUAAUUCAUUGCAACUACCUAACAAAAAGCUCCCAAACUAGGUUGGUUCAGUUUCUCGCUCAUUUCCUUGGGAGCUUCUUUUCAGUACUGCUGUAAGAUUUAAUCUCAAGCCCUGUGCUACAAACUUCUAGACUGUAACAAGCCUCAGCCUCAAAAAUGUUAAGCACAACGAAAAAUGGAAAUGACCAUAGAGUAAAGUGGUCUCAGAGAUCCUCUGAUCCUCACUCACUGGCUUGCGGGUCACUGACUGAGCCGAAUAUGCAAACAUACCAUUCCUACCCAUGACGUUGCUGAUGCUCUGUGCUAUGUUAGCAGAGUGAAGUUCACAGGGAAAAAAGCAACCCCUUCUCUCAUCUUUUCCUUCUGCUUCCUCAACAGGAAGAUAGAACAGGUGAUGGCUGUUCACAUAUGAGUUAAAUUCUGAGCAAUGUCUAUUUUUCUUAGCCUGCGUCAUGAAACACACUUUCUAAGCACUUGUGGAGAAAACAAGAGUUUCAAAGAACUUGGUAUGUUAGAGAAGUCUACAGGUCCGUGUGGAUGGACAGCUGACCCAGGGAGGUCAUGUUUAUCUCCCCCUGGGUCACUGUGAGCAAAACAGCUGCUAUGGAUCAGUGUCUCACACAGAACAAUGAUGGGAGUAGGGAAAAGGAAUGAGGAGCUGUGAUAGAGACCGCUAUGCCAGGUGCCGUGAGAGAAACUGCAAUCAACCGCAAGUUAUGAGAAUUGUGCCUUGUUGUACUUAGCAUGCUAUUUGUAUCACUCUAUAUAAAUGGCUGUGUGCAGUUAUUAAAUGGCUUGGCUACUGGUAACCAUACUGGUGUGCGGCCUCAUCCAUGCCACACCUCGGCUGAGUAUUGCUCUCCAGGGGACUCGGAACAGUCAUUCGGCGACAGGUCUGAUACAUACUCCUUUUAAUACCAAGCUUCUGCUAGAAGAGAGGAUGAAAGAUCAACCUUUUGGUAACUGUAAAACAAGAAAAGGUUUACAGAAGAACUUCCAUAUUUCCUCCAUGCUCCUUCAAGAUCUGUGCAGCCUCAGUGUCUGUCCCAGCACUGAUGGAGACAUUGCCACAAUGAUAUUUCACAUUGAUAAAGAUCUGGACAAGGUGAUGUGCUAGAAAAGUCAAACCAAGAAAGAUGCAGUCAAGCAGAAUGGGAUAGAUGUAUCAGAUGCGCUGAUGUUACACUAACAUGCUGUCAGGUAGCCCUAAAAGAUGUUUGAUCUUUAUUUCCAUUCCAGAUCGUGUGAUAAUUUUUGUUUACUUGCUCUGGUAACUCCAAGGGACUUUCAAGUGCUUUGUUAGAGAAAAGCACCUUUAACAAAAAAAUGGCUUAGUUCAGCUCCAUUCCUUUCUUUCGGCAGAUCUUAUUCUAAUAGGCAGGACAACCAGACACUUGGGUAGUGUAAAUGCACCACUUCAGGGAAGUUAAGAGAAGCAAAAUGACUUAAGACACCAGCUGAGGUGCUGGCUGCACAUGAAGCUAUCAUUACAUUAUGGGAAGACAAACACUGACUAGCUGUUUAAAGUAGACAGGUUCCUACUGACUCCUCAUUACUGCAUGUGUGCAUUUGCACAUUUUCACACACAAGUUUAGCUUGGUCAAAACAAAGCUUAACAAUUUCAGUGUGCAUAGUUGUACAUUACAGACAAAUGUUUCCUGCUGUACAACAAGCAGCUCUCUAAUACACAGAGAUUGGAAAAGGAACAAUUAAUUCUGACACACAAGGUUUUCUCACAGUGUGUCGGCUCUUUUAAAUUAUUGAUAGUGAUUUGGAGAAUACAGAGCCAUAAGAGUGCAGCUGUUUCAACUGCUUUUUUUUAAAUGGCAGAAAAAGGCAAACAGUUAUGACCCUUAAAUGAUGAUCUAUGGAGUUUAAAGGUAAUUCACCUUCCUCAAACAUCACUUUAAAAAAAACAAAACAUUAAACAACAACUUGGAUAUCAUUCUCUGAAACCAAGAAACAAUGUCAAUACUUGGACUACUGCUGAUUAAGAACACUGAAUUACCAGAACAAAAAUUAAAAACUAUAAUCUGAUUGACUGUUUGCUUAAUAAUGUUCAUAUAUGAUUUUCUUUAUCAUAAUACAACUUCAGCAGUUCUGCAGACUGAGGUCCUCAGUGGUGCAUGCAAUCAGAAAUACAGUAGCAUCAUGGCAAGCAUGAUAGUGCAAUGCAAACGUAUCCUGCUGAUACAACUUCUGUGAUUAAAAACGUUACAGUAUAAAACAAUCAUUGAGAGUUUACUUUUAAUUUACUUUUUAAUCAGCUUUAUUUUAAUCAGAAAAUUGUAUCUAGCAAAGCUCAUUAAAUGAUAUCUAGAAGGAACAAAAUAAAAAUGUUACUACUAUGCUGAUAGUUUUUAUGUGAAGUUUAGUUAGUUUAUGCCCAGUGAGCAAGUCAUAAGCACUGAAACAUCUCAAAAAAAUCCUAGAUACAAUAAAAUCUGUUAACUAUUAAAAUAUAUAUAUCCUGUAUUAUGUUGAAAUCAAAAUGUUAUCAGCAUAAAGAAAGGAAUGACUAUAUUAACCUACAUUUAUUUUUCUUCAUAAAGACUGACAAAAAAAAUAGACUAAUGGCUCAUGCAGUUUUUAACUCCAACUGACUGUUGGAGUUAAAAUUGGAGGGUCAAUACCUCUGUACUAUUUUUCACUUAAUCUCUAUGACAGAGAGAGAUAAAGUGUCCUGCUUCCACAAAAUGCCUUAUUGAGCAGGAAUUAGUCUAGAGAGGGGUCUCUGAAAAAAAGACCCAGUUUGGAGUUGGGAGCUCCAUAACUAAACUAAAGCCCUCUGUUACCCAGGAGUAUUUCAGAAGCUCCUGCCACCACUCGGUUCCACCUGCUGCUUGUGGUAGUAGAGCUUACUAAAAAGUAGGAAAGGAUUUAAUGUUCUACUCAAUCCAAGUUAAAAGAAUUGCUUUUUGUAGAUUUUCACUGAAAUGUGAUUAAUGAUGCCUAGCAUUAUUUAACCAAAGCAUUAUUUAAUCAACAACUGGCACUGAAAUGAAAUAAAAUGAUAAUAAAAC
ensembl:lncRNA